GGCCUCGUCGUACAAUGGAUAGUACAUUAGUCUCCGAAGCUGAUGAUCCAGGUUCGAUUCCUGGCGAGGCUACCA
rnacentral:tRNA from 1 species